GCAAAAACACCCCUGAACUCAUUUGAAUUCCAUCCCCUGCCCUCUCGUAUCUUAUCCAUUUCUCUCGCUCUGGCGAUGGCGACGGCGACGGACCGACUUCUGCGGAGACGGCGCGGCGAGGCGGGGCAGGUGCUGCAGAGGAUGGAGGACGCCGGAGCAGAGCACGACAGCUCCCGCCUUCGCUGCUGUCCGCGCGCGCCCGCGUGCUCGCCUCCGUCCGCGCCGGAGAGCUGCUGUCCGCGCGCGCCUCGCCUCCGUCCGCGCCGGAGCGCUGCUGUCCGCGCGCGGCUCACCUCCGCCCGCGUCCUGCCGCGUCCCAACCGCGCCGGGAGACCGCCUCUGCCUGCCGCGCGCGCUGUACGCGUCCGAGUCUCUGACGUCCAACCGCGCCGGGAGACCGCCUCUGCCUGCCGCGCGCGCUACAAUGAAACCAUCCCGGCCCGAAUUGGAGUUCGAUGCUAUAAAUUGAAUUGUUAUUGGCCGGAAUCGUGAACCAGGCCAGCGCCACCAGCGAGCAAUGCACCGUCGCUUGGGGUCAAAGCUGUUUUGUUGGCUGCUGGCUUCUUGUGCUGUUAUAGUUCGCUACAGACAGGUACAUAAGUUCCCUACAGCUACAAGUAUGGUACCAUAAUGUGUCAUCUAUUCGAUUUUGAGGUUUGGUAUUGAUUCAUUGAUCCCCUUUCCUAGGAUUCAUUAUUGGAAAUUGAUCUUGGGCUAUGGAACUAAGAUGAUCUACUCAAAAAGUUUUCUUACCACUAUAUCUUUUUUAUGUGCUAAAUCACUGAUUAAUUACUACACUUAGCAAGAAUUUCCUUUACAAACAAAGCUAGCGUUCGAGGGUGUGGAGGAGGUGAAACACAUGGGGUCACCAUCAGCCUUUCCCUCUAGAUCUGGUGCGUGUAAUUUAACCUGGAUAUUCAGAGACGUAUUGAAAGGAAAACAAUUUGGACCUUAGUUGUAUAUUUGAUGAAGCUAUCUAAUUUGGACUUGAAAUUACACUGUAAAAUUUCCUUUCAACUGCUAACUCAAUUUACAAUUUUCUGAACUUUACUUCUGCCACCAUAUGCUCCCAGUCAUCCCCGCCACAUGUACGUCGCUGGUUCAUCCUGAUGCUUGUCAUCCUCAUUGCGACUGCCGUAGUUUGGCACCAGGCUACCUACCGGCGACGUUGCCCCGCAUCCCGUUGCCAGCUACUGCUCCUUACGGGUCCGCGAGUACCUGCAUGAUUGGAUGCCUUACGGGCACGCACGCUCCUUCCUGAUCUGAUUUGUUCUCAUGGGAAAUCACUUCCUGCCAAUUCCUCAAAGUUCACAAACAGUUUUUAUUUCAUGGAUUUAUUUUUGGCAUUGACUGCUGCACAUUUAGAUAGAUGCAUAUAAUUUGCAUGUCAUGAAGGGAAAAAGACAUCACUGAGCCGUUUGUUUCUAAUUGCGAGGUUAAAUAAUUUUGUGUGUUCUAACUCUAUGGGAUAAUCUGAAGUUAUUUGGCUCAUCGUUGUGCCACAAGUUUCUAACAUCACCGUGCCUGUACACCAUCGACUUCACUGGAAAUAUGUCUGCACGUACUUCAUCGUCCGCCGGAACUUUGUCUGACCUGAGGUACGUACUGCAGUCUCAUGAAUUUGAAUGUGUCAUCAACUAUUACUUAUUAGUUCUGUAUAUGUUCUUUAGUAUAUUGUAAGCUCUGAACAAGACAAUGCCUAAAAGGGUCAUACAUUGCUUUUCCGUGCCAUUCAGUUUUUUCAGUUGAGUUGGCUACUUAAUUUUCCACUAUGUUAAUUCUUUCGUUUGCAAUUUCUCAUUGGUGUUCAUGUAAUUACCCUGCAGCCUUUCUUAGUACUGCCUAACAUUUGAUUGUUGUGCUUACAUAGAACUGGAACUUUUUUGGAUUUUGUAAGGCUGCGGAUAACAAGCCGGUGAGAGCUUAUGGUUCAGUUAGAACCUACCUCUUUCUCUAUCCUAAUGUGAUUUAUAAUGUUUUAUUCUGGUGAGCAUAUGAGGCUGCAGUACUAGGUUUAUGCUCAGAAGUUAAAUUGCUUGCUGAUUAAUUUGCGUCAUAUUAUUCACAUCAAACAGCAGCAGUUUUCUUAUCCAAGUUCAUUUGAUUUUGUAGGCAGGGGGAUUCAAUACCAAGAUUUAUGAUUUGGCAUAAGUGAGAUGACAUAUAGGUGAGUAUGUUGUUCUGACUUUAUGAUACGAGUGUUUUGCACAAAUAUUUCUCAAUAAUGAGCAUAUGUUCUUUUCUGAUGUUGCAUUAGUCAAUGUUUUGAAACUGAUGUAUCUGUGACAAAAAUAUUGAAGUUAUGGACAUGUUGAUAAUUGGUUAUCAAGCAAAGGUACGUUCACUAAAUGUUAGUGGUUAUCGGAAGAAGAAAUCAGUUCAUUUACCGCUGCAGUAAAAAGUGGCACAACUGAUUUUGUUCAGAUACUAAAUUUGCUUGCAUGCUAUUUUUAUAGGCAUUUCCUACAUAUUGAGGGGUAUGCGUGAUAUCUUUUCUAAGGCCAUGAAAUAUUUUCAGGUAGAUGGAUGCGGCGAUCCCGGAUGUGCUUUGCUGCUGUCAUUUUUUUAUCAAGGACGCCACUGUCCAAGUCGUUCUUCUGCCUUGGAAGCUUUAGAAUGCUGGUGGCUGAUGGGGAUUAUAAGAACUUAAAUGCCAGAGAAGUCGUAUUGUAUCAGGACUUAAGCUAAUCGUCCAGAAACCUAAUUCAGGGCAUCGUCCAGACACCCUACAGGGGUGAUGUUGGGUGUCUGGACGAUGCCCUGAGGACCUUCUGACCGAGCUUGGCAUCCUGUAGGCAUCACUCUCCCCGAGGCUACCACACCUUGCUGGCGUGCGGUCCAUCAUGGUGGCAGUGGAUGGGCUCUGGGCGGUCAUCAUGGCGGAGAUGAGGCGGAUCUUACGCAAUAUUGUACGUGUUGUCACGGGGUUGUACGUGAUGCGAUCCCGUUGCAACGCACGGGCACUUUUGCUAUAUAUUCUAAAUCACCGUUGUGGCAGAAUUAGAAUAAAACAUCACCUUUUUA